rnacentral:rRNA from 1 species
UACAGAGAGUGCAAACGUUGUUCGGAAUUACUGGGCUUGAAGCGCACGUAGGCGGCGCCACAAGUGUCGGGUGAAAUCCCACGGCUUACCCGUGGAACUGCCAGGCAGACUGUGGUGCUCGAGUGUGGUAGGGGAGAGCGGAACUCCUGGUGGAGCGGUGAAAUGCGCAGAUAUCAGGAGGAACACCGGUGGCGAAGGCGGAUCUCUGGGCCUUACCUGACGCUCAGGCGCGAAAGCUAGGGGAGCAAACAGG